AAAAAAUGUAUCAGGCGGAUGGGCAGCAUCGGGUUUCGCUUCUCCUCAACAGCAAAGUCGAGCUGAGGCCCCACUUGCGCCGGGCGCUCGGGCACUCCGCGCUCGGCUCAGCCUGCUCCCCGGUGAGCACGGCGCCUAGACAGGAGGGAGGGCCUAAUCGCGGAGCACGGUGUGUGGGGCGUCUAUACUGAAGACGCAAGAUAGGGGGAAAGAAGAGGGAAAGUCUACCUCAGGAGAUGAAACUCAGCGCUGCGCAAACAAACCUGCCCCGGUCCCACAAGAUGGCGGCGAAGCCGUGGCGGAAGGGACGACUCCUCCCGCGCGCAAACUCCCGCCGGCGCCUUUGAGUGUCGGCUACACAUAAAAUGGCUUCCGAUUAGCGGGGGUGUUGUCAGCGCAGUGAGGAGAAGGGGGUGGCAGUAGGAUUGUCUUGAGUUCAGUGUGUGUAUAGACGUUUAUGGGACUAUGCUUUUUAUACCCCUGUUGGUACGAGGCAGACAAAACAGCUUUGUAUUAGUCCCAGUAGUCAUUCAGUGAUAACAGACUGCUUAUCAGUGAGAAUUGCAGACUUGGGUAAGUGUGGGCAUAUGUUUUGGCAGAAGCCCUUGGUUCAUGUCUUGCUCUAUCAUUCUGAGUUUGUUUAUAGUGAGGAUAAUAUUGUACAGGUGUGUGAGAGUUGUAUGCUUCCCAUUGUUUUACAGUCUUCAGUAAAUUUUAAGUAAUGCCUUGUCCCUGUAAACUGGGUCUUGUGAUACCCUUGGUAUAAAUCAGCAACUUACAUGAAGCAACUUACUCUGAGGUGCUAUUGUUGUAGCUGCUCUCUUAAAGGCCUUAAAUCUAAAAUCCUAGGCUGUUUUAUUUGCUGAAAUAGGCAAAAGCCACUUCAAUAUGUGGUGAAAUUAGAUACAUCACGUAUAACUCCCAGCUCAAUGGAUUUCAAAGCAUUUACAAAACAGUCAUUUUUUGUGCUGCUAAAAAUAUACCAGUGGAAGCACAGUACUCUGGGAUAGCACACUUGUGCAGAGUCACGCUGUCUUUGGAACUGCAGGGAAAACAGAGGCAGAAUAUAAUCACCCACACUAGAAUUUGGUCAGAUACCAAGCAACUGCUCUGUGUCAUGAAAAAAUAUCUGGAUUCUUACUGAAAUUGUAUGGUCAGGCUCUCACUUUAAUAUCAAUCAUUCAAGGGUAUCACAGUAUCCCUGCUACUAAGAUACAGCAUUGGAUUUGUGCUGAUUCAGAAGGAAACCAGCUACCUGCUGUGAAUCAAUAUGCUCACUUUCUCCUUAGAUCUAUUCCAUACAAACUCAUAAAGACUUGUACAGGCUAAUAGAAGAGGUUUAAGGAGAUAGUAUGGCUCCAGGCUUAUGAAAGAAGAUUUUUUUUUAAUGAAUGAAUGAUUUACCGAUUUACCAAUUUAACACAGCCUUUACUUACUUAAGUGACCAAUAUACUCUCUUGUUUAUUUGCUCCACUUUUUCCUUAAUUUACCUAAUUUUUAGAUGCUUACUGAACAGUUUCCACAUUUUUAUAGGAAACAUUUGAGUUGUAUGCAAGUUUCUUUUCAUUCUCUUCCCCCCCCCCCAUAUUUCGAAGUUGAACUACUACAUUGUCUUCAUUGAUAGGUUCUUAUGUAAACUGGAACUGUAAAUCAGUGUAAACAUACAACAUAGAGCAUACCAGUAAGAUUAGAUGUGACUGAGAAGAGAUGGUACUAUAUGUUUCAAUUUGGAGAGGUUUGGAUGUAAAUCUCUGGCUUGGACAUAGUUCUCUUUAUAUGCUUUCAUAACAGGUUUGAUCUAUCUAAUUUUUUAGAUUCUCCUAGUUAUUUAAAAAAAUCUUUAAGGAUUUAUGCCUCCUAAAAUACUAUGAACUUGUCUUUUAUGUUAUAUAUUUCAAAAUCAGACUUAGUAUGAUCAGGGUGAGUGCAUUCUAUCUGUAUAUAUAAAUGGUGUCCCUGGUUUCAUUUGUAA